rnacentral:rRNA from 1 species
UACGAAGGGUCCAAGCGUUGUUCGGAAUCACUGGGCGUAAAGGGCGCGUAGGCGGGAUGGCAAGUCGGUCGUGAAAUCUCUCGGCUCAACCGAGAAACGUCGGCCGAUACUGCCGUUCUUGAGGGAUGCAGAGGAGACUGGAAUUCCCGGUGUAGCGGUGAAAUGUGUAGAGAUCGGGAGGAACACCGGUGGCGAAGGCGGGUCUCUGGGCAUUUCCUGACGCUGAGGCGCGAAAGCGUGGGGAGCAAACGGG